AAUCUUUUAAUUUCAUGGCUGCAGUCACCAUCUGCAGUGAUUUUUGAGCCCCCCAAAAAUAAAGUCUGUCACUGUUUCCACUGUUUCCCCAUCUAUUUGCCAUGAAGUGAUUACUAAUUAUUAAUUUAUUAUUUUUUUACUGUGCUGGGUCUUUGUUGCUGCAUGGGCUUUCUCUAGUUGCAGAGAGCAGGGGCUACUCUCUAGCUGCAGUGUUCCAGCUUCUCAUGGUGAUAACUCCUCUUGUUGUGGAGCACGGGGCUCAGUAGUUGUGGCGCACAAACUUAGUCGCUCUGCAGCAUGUAGGAUCUUCCCGGACCAGGGAUCAAAUCAGUGUCCCUUGCAUUGGAAGGCAGAUUCUUAAGCACUAGACCACCUGGGAAGCCCUACAACAUAUAUCUUAACAUAGUAAAAUCUACUUACAGAUUUUUAAUAACUUAAAUCUAGUAAAAUAUAGAAACUUUGCUCCAAUAAGCUCACUUCUUCCCCACCUUUGUACCAUUACUAUUAUAUAUUGUAUAUCUAUACAUGUUAUGAACACAAAAAUAUUGAGUAAUAAUUAUUUCUAUAUAAAUAUUUUUAAAUAAUUUAAGAGAAUACAGGAUAAAAAUACAGAAUCUUUUAUAUUCACCUUCCUAUUUACCAUUUCUAGCAUUCUUCAUUUCUUCUUACAGAAAUGAGUUAUUUAUCUGGUGUCAUUCCCCUGCCUCAGAAUAGAUCUACUCCUUCUCCCUUGCUUUGUGCUAUUGUUGUUAUAUAUGUUGCAUCUUUAUAUAAUUCAAACAAUAUUAUUUUUAAUUGGUAUUUUAUGCAAUGAUUUCUUUAAAUCAGUUAAGAGAAAAAAAGAGAAUAUAUGUUGGCCAAUCCCAUAUUUAUGGAGCCAGACUUCCUGGGUUUAAAUCUCUCCUCUGCCACUUACUGGGGCUUUCUAGGUGGCACAGAAGUAAAGAAUCCACCUGCCAAUACAGGAAACGCAGGAGAUGCAGGUUUGAUCCCAGGUUUGGGAAGAUUCUCCAGAGUAGGAAAUGGCAACCCACGCCAGUAUUCUUGCCUGGAAAAUUCCAUGGACAGAGGAGCCUGGUGGGCUACAGUCCAUGCGAUUGCAGAGUCGGACACUAAUGAGCACAAGCAAACAACAGCCACUUAUUAGCUGUGUGACCUUGGGCAAAUUACAUAGUUUAUCUGUGCCUCAGUUCUUUUAUCUGGAAAAAAAAGAUAUAAUAGUAGUACCUACUAUAUAAGGUUUCUCUGUUGGUAUGAAAUUAGUUAUUUUUUAAGUGUUUGGAAGGGGCCUGACACAAGUAUCUACUAUAUAUGUUUGUUAGACACAUAAAUUGCCAGCUGGGAAACUUACUAGCCAUGUGAUCUUAGGCAUGGAUGUCUUCAUCUUGAAGAUAAGGACAACAGUACCUACAAAAUGUGGUUAAACUUAUACAUUCAUGGUAGAAGUACAAAUUGUAGCUAGGCUUUUGGAAAACAAUUUGU
rnacentral:lncRNA from 1 species